AGCCUCUCUCCCCCAGUCCUCGUCCGCCUCCUACUCCUGCAUGCUGCCCCCUCGCCGCCGCCCCGCCCCCUGCCCCGCAAGUUCGACCCCUCUCCGUACCAGUCGCCACACCUGCACGGCCCGCACUCCAGCAUAGGCACAGGUUAUCUGUCCUCCAGUUCGUCGGUAGGGGGGCAGGUACCAGGCAGUGAGCCGGACUUGGGACAAUACUGGACAAGACUGCAGUAAAAAUGUCUUUAUCCCCGUGGUCACAUAUCUGUACAUAUGUUUGGACUCCCCCCCCCCUUCCCCCACUCACCUCACCUCAGUUCACUGAACCCGCCUACCGGACAACAACUCAAUUGGGGGGGAUUUCUGUGGAAAACUGGCAACCCGUGCAUUCCAAGGAAGGGGCAGGUGGCCAACCACUGAUGACAGAAAGAUUAUCAUGAAGGUAUUGGUGCCAAUAAAGCUCAAUACAGACGUACCAAUGGGCCCCGUUUCACAGAGGACAAACAGGUGUUGGUCCAUCAUGUGUCUACUCCUUUUGUGUACCAGGGCUAGAGUGUCCUAUGACGACACCACUGUGAAAAAGCCCUGUGCGACUCUCAUCAUAGCAUAACGGAGAAUGGCACAGCGGAACAGAAAACAUAAGAGUCAUUUUCUUUAUCAACCGACCAUGAUGACUUGAUAAGAGGGAUAGAUCAAUAUGAAUCUAGUCUGGAAAACAAGUUGAAGGUUUGUGAGAUGUUUAAAUGUUUGCCAUAGCUUUCACUAUGGCUAUAUAAUGAAAAUAUAGUCAAUCAAAACAGUAUUAGCAAUCACAACAAAGCCAUGAAUAAAAAGGAAAAGCAAAUGACAAUCAACAUUGGCCAAAAAGUACAUUACCAAAGAUUAUUUGGUGUUGAUGUGAAAGCGCCAAAACUAUCAGAGAUGAGAGCCAUUAUAUAUAUUAACAAAAGUGUCCUCAUGUGAUGACAUGACACACAUGAGCCAUGUGCUCACUGCGUUUACAGAAGUAAGUUCAAACAGUUGUUCUGACCUCUAUCGCUGUGCAUUUUGUAUUUUGGUGAGCACAGCCCAACACUAGACCACUUUCCUCCAGUCCAGUAAAACAAAAGACUAUCUUUUGCACCAACAACAACUUCCCAACGUCACUACGUUGUGCAUGGAACGCAUUAUACUAAGACAUGGGGCGCUCACGCAGCACAAAACUAGCAUUGACUGGAAACAGUGCUCGAGACCAUCACUAUCAAACUCUAUCAAACGCUGAGACAACCAGGACCAGAGAAAAGACAAUCAGAUACGGGAGACUAGUGAUGGAUUAGCAUUAGCCAUAUUGUGAUGACUUAUUUUGUUAGGUCUGUGUCACUGUUCCCCCCCCUUCGGACCCCCAUGGUUCCAUAUCACCAGGUGAAUUAGCACUGUGUUCUAUGAUAUCGGUACGAAUGUUUCUGGGCGACUCCAUCGUGUGUGUGUGUGUGUGUGUGUGUGUGCGUGUGCGUGUGUGUGUGCGUUUGUGUUGUUAGAACCAAUAUUUUUGUGUAUUUUCCUUUUGUGAAACUAUAAACCGAAAUAAUAAAAGAAAAUACAUUUGAA
ensembl:lncRNA